rnacentral:rRNA from 3 species
UUUAUGGAGAGUUUGAUCCUGGCUCAGGAUGAACGCUGGCGGCGUGCCUAAUACAUGCAAGUCGAGCGA